UGGCCAGCUACUUAUAGUGUAAAUCAACAAAGAAUGACCUCACUUUGUUAUAUAGAAAGUCUCAUUAGUAAGGAAGCAUAUAUGAAUUUUCUGAGUCAAGGCCUAUAGUAACUGUUUUGGGUUUUGUUAGGUUAGGUUAAGUUUAGGGUAUCUUCAAACACAAGAUGGCCAGCUACUUAUAGUGUAAAUCAACAAAGAAUGACCUCACUUUGUUAUAUAGAAAGUCUCAUUAGUAAGGAAGCAUAUAUGAAUUUUCUGAGUCAAGGCCUAUAGUAACUGUUUUGGGUUUUGUUAGGUUAGGUUAGGUUAAGUUUAGGGUAUCUUCAAACACAUGAUAGCCAGUUACUUAUGGUAUAUAUCAACAAAGAAUGACCUCACUUUGUUAUAUAUAAAGUCUCAUUAGUAAGGAAGCAUAUAUGAAUUUUCUGAGUCAAGGCCUAUAGUAACUGUUUUGGGUUUUGUUAGGUUAGGUUAGGUUAAGUUUAGGGUAUCUUCAAACACAAGAUGGCCAGCUACUUAUAGUGUAAAUCAACAAAGAAUGGCCUCACUUUGUUAUAUAGAAAGUCUCAUUAGUAAGGAAGCAUAUAUGAAUUUUCUGAGUCAAGGCCUAUAGUAACUGUUUUGGGUUUUGUUAGGUUAGGUUAGGUUAAGUUUAGGGUAUCUUCAAACACAAGAUGGCCAGCUACUUAUAGUGUAAAUCAACAAAGAAUGACCUCACUUUGUUAUAUAGAAAGUCUCAUUAGUAAGGAAGCAUAUAUGAAUUUUCUGAGUCAAGGCCUAUAGUAACUGUUUUGGGUUUUGUUAGGUUAGGUUAGGUUAAGUUUAGGGUAUCUUCAAACACAUGAUAGCCAGUUACUUAUGGUAUAUAUCAACAAUGAAUGGCCUCACUUUGUUAUAUAGAAAGUCUCAUUAGUAAGGAAGCAUAUUUGAAUUUUCCGAGUCAAGGCCUAUAGUAGCUGUUUUGAGUUUUGUUAGGUUAGGUUAGGUUAAGUUUAGGGUAUCUUCAAACACAUGAUAGCCAGUUACUUAUGGUAUAUAUCAACAAAGAAUGGCCUCACUUUGUUAUGUAGAAAGUCUCAUUAGUAAGGAAACAUAUUUGAAUUUUCCGAGUCAAGGCCUAUAGUGCUGUACCACCACCAUCAUGUCUACUACUAUUAUAAUCAACUCUGUCUCCUUCAACUAACACCACUAUCAUUUCAACUACUAUCAUAACCAACUUUCCGUGUCUU